UGAGCCAUCUUCCCAGCCCAAGAGAGUGUCGCUCUUGGGGAUGGAGCGAUGGCUCAG
rnacentral:miRNA from 1 species